GUCGCUGUUCAUGUUUGUAUAAUUUUUGGUAGUUAAUAAUUACGUUGACUUGUAGUGAGUUUAUGUAAUCAAGUAAUUUUAUUAGUGUAUAUCUAUAGGCUACCUGCAUAUAUAGCUCUAUACGUAAAGCAUACUAAAGACACAGUUUUGCUAAUAAUUCAUUUUACGCAGAAAUGGAAAUGAAAACGAAACGUUAUCGUGGGGUUUUGGCUCUCAUGAGAGCAUGCAAAUACGGGGCCGUACUUCCUUGCAAUGACAGCUUCUGAUAAGAAACAAUUGUAUGAGUGGUUCA